AACGAACGCUGGCGGCGUGCUUAACACAUGCAAGUCGAACGCGAAAGGGACUUCGGUCCUGAGUAAAGUGGCGCACGGGUGAGUAACGCGUAGAUAACCUGUCUUCAUGUCUGGAAUAAUACGCCGAAAGGGGUACUAAUACCGGAUAUUCUUGCUUUUCAUAAGUUAUGCAAGCAAAGGUGGCCUCUGCAUAUGCUACUGCAUGAAGAGGGGUCUGCGUACCAUUAGCUAGUAGGUGGGGUAAUGGCCUACCUAGGCGACGAUGGUUAGCGGGUCUGAGAGGAUGAUCCGCCACACUGGCACUGGAACACGGGCCAGACUCCUACGGGAGGCAGCAGUGAGGAAUAUUGCGCAAUGGGGAAACCCUGACGCAGCGACGCCGCGUGAGUGAAGGAAGGCCUUCGGGUCGUAAAGCUCUGUCAAGAGGAAAGAAGUGUACAAUGGCUAAUACCUGUUGUAUUUGACGGUACCUCUAAAGGAAGCACCGGCUAACUCCGUGCCAGCCGCAGC
rnacentral:rRNA from 1 species